AUUGAACGCUAGCGGGAUGCCUUACACAUGCAAGUCGAACGGAGUGGCGAACGGGUGAGUAAUGUAUCGGAACGUGCCCGGGAGCGGGGGAUAACUACGCGAAAGAGGAGCUAAUACCGCAUACUAUUGGAGCGGCCGAUAUCGGAGUAGCUAGUUGGUGGGGUAACGGUUCACCAAGGCGACGAUCCAUAGCUGGUUUGAGAGGACGAGCAGCCACACUGAGACUGAGACACGGCCCAGACUCCUACGGGAGGCAGCAGUGGGGAAUUUUGCACAAUGGGGGAAACCCUGAUCCAGCCAUCCCGCGUGUACGAAGACGGCCUUCGGGUUGUAAAGCACUUUUGGCAGGAAAGCGGUGCCUGCAGAAUAAGCACCGGCUAACUACGUGCCAGCCGCCGCGGUAAUUC
rnacentral:rRNA from 1 species